GGACUACACGGGUAUCUAAUCCCGUUCGCUCCCCUGGCUUUCGUGUCUCAGCGUCGGCACACCCCCAGCAGACUGAUUUCUCCUUUGGCGUUCCAGGCGAUAUCUACGCAUUUCACCGCUCCACCGCCUGUUCCAUCUGCCCUUAAGUGGCCCAAGACCGCCAGUAUACCCAGCAGUUCCCCGGUUGAGCCGGGGGAUUUCACAAGGUACUUAACGGUCCGCCUACACACGCUUUAAGCCCAGUGAUUCCGCCUAACGCUUGGCACCUCUGUCUUACCGCGGCUGCUGGCAC
rnacentral:rRNA from 1 species